UACGUAGGGGGCAAGCGUUGUCCGGAUUUAUUGGGCGUAAAGAGCGUGUAGGCGGCCAGAUAGGUCUGCUGUGAAAACUCGAGGCUCAACCUCGAGAUGUCGGCGGAAACCAUUUGGCUAGAGUCCGGAAGAGGAAAGUGGAAUUCCUGGUGUAGCGGUGAAAUGCGCAGAUAUCAGGAAGAACACCCGUGGCGAAGGCGGCUUUCUGGGACGGUACUGACGCUGGAGACGCGAAAGCGUGGGGAGCGAACAGG
rnacentral:rRNA from 1 species